rnacentral:tRNA from 1 species
ACGAUCGUAGCCCAACGGUAGAGCGCCGGGAUGUCCCGGAGGUAGCUGGUUCGAGUCCAGUCGAUUGUG